UAGAGCUAGUUGUGCUUUACCUAAGGAAAGUUUAUUCAGUUUUGGUUCAUUGUGCUGUGAGCUCAUAUACAAACCACAUCAAAAUUAUUUAUAAAAAAAGAAAGUUACAUAAAAAAAAAUCUUGGAUGAAUUUCACGACUGUGAGUUAGGUGUGUUAAGUGAGAAAUGUGUAUAUAGAGUGGUGUUCUAAAAUUAAGUGAAAGCUAAAGAAAUCAUGUGAAACCGUUAAAAUCUUGAAUAAAUCGAGAGUGGAAGUGAAAUGUGUAACUAGAAAUAUUUUCAAUAUUUGUGCGCUGUGUUUUUUAAAAUUAAGUGAAUGCUAAAGAAAUCAUGUGAAAAACAAAACAACCAGAAUGGCCCCAAGAAGUUCAAAUAAGUGGAUAUAUCAAAAUGCAUGAGCUCAGAUGGGUUAAACGUUAUACGCAAUAAAGGUUAAGAAAUGAAGUAUCAUGUAGCGACGCCGAAUACUUAUUAUGAAAAUUGAGGACUACUGCAGAGCCACAUCAUUGAUAAAUAAUAAUACCGAACAGAAUGACCGUAUGGGGGAAUUUUGUCAAUGGCAGCUGCUGUUGAAGCUUUUGUUUUCGCAUUAACUACACGCUGUAAUUUGCAGCAAAACACUGCAAUUAACAGGCAAUUGCAGCACGGCAGCCCUCUUUUGUCUUCAGCCCCCAUGGCAUACUAAACUAGUUUAUUCCGUCCGUCUCCAUCUAUGUCUCCCAUCCCAUCCGAUUUGCUCAGAGGUUCUCGAGUUCGUCUCCGGAUUUGGUGCGAUAGCACACGCCCUCCACGCCUUCCAGCACCACUGAUUGCCACACGGGAAGAAAAUUUAUGAUAUAUACCAAUUAUUUUACAUUCAAAUGAAACUAUUGCCCUAACGUUUAAACAGAAAUGACAGUAAUGAAAUUAAUAACAGCUUGAGACGUGUGAUGACUGAUUGCCUCCAUAAAGAUACUUGUUAGAUCUGUUAGAAUGAAUACCUAAUAUAAAAAAAUAACUCAUCAGAAAUGAAUACCAAUAUCAAACCAAAACUCAUCAAACUGAAACUUUGUUUUAAAAAAUGUUGUUAAAACGAGUUUGACAAAGCAAAUUUGAACUAAAUGUCCAAGUUACGAACUGCGAGGAAUAAACAUAUAUUUUGGUUAUCAAUGUAUAGAUUAGUUCAGUUAUUUCGGUUUUAUAAUGAAACGUUUAAAUUUGUUUAAAUGGUUACGUUAAUAUUAGUAUUUAAUAUAAUUUUUUUAUUUUAAAUGAAAACAUACAUUGUAUAGAUCAAUUAUAGAUGUUAAUGCAAUUUUUAAGAAAUUUAAGUACGUGAAUGGCUGAAGAAAAGUUAUUAUAUAACCAAAAACGUAUAACUAUCUAUUUCGUUAUAUGCAGAAUGUAACAAUUGGAUUUAACAAUGUAAUUAGCUCAAGCAAUACAUGUUUUUUUAAGCAAAUCAGAUAUUUUUAUGAGAAGUUUGCUGAUAAAUUUCUUAAAAACAAAUGUAACCGAUUGUUCCAGGAAGAAAAAAUGUUUGGUUCGAAGGUCUUGCAUUUUCUUUUAAUUUAAAUCAAAUAUUACACAUCCUACGAAAUGAAUAUAGCGUUUGCGAAUUGUAUUUAACGAAGACUUAAUGAAACUUUUAAUCUUAAAUUACUCUUUCUGGUGGAAGCGAUUGUUCCGAUAAAAAUAAUGAUUGGUUCUAGGGUUUUGGUAUAAAAAUAAAUCGUUCCAAUUGGUUUAAUAAUAAUUGGCUUAACUUUUAAAAUUUUUUCAGAAUUUUCUUUUAUUUUAAGUCAUUAAAUAAAUGUUUCUGGUUCUCGCACAUAUAUGGAAUGCUAAAAAAUAAAUAUUAUUCAAAGAAAAUAAAUAAUAUCCAUGUUACAUAUAUCAGUUUGAUAUUAUGUAAUAGAUGAAUAGAGAAAUGUCUAUCGCAAAAUACAAAAUUAUGAUUGAGCCUCGGGUCUUCAUACAUUAUAUUAACAAUUUUAAUCAAUUUAUUAGAUUUAAUUAGAUAAACGCUUUACAUGUAGAAGAUAUAUUUCUGAUAUCGAUUAAGAUUUUUACUUUUCCUAAAAAUCAUUAAUCUUGUGCUCAAAAAUGACACAAUUUAUAAGAUUUAAUUUGCUAAACACUAGUUUUGAAAGGAUAUAGUUCAGAUAUCGAAAUAUUUUUAAAAAAUUAAAUUUUCUUAAUAUAUUAAAAUGAAAAAUGAUUAGUGAAAAAUGUAAAUGACACAUGAUAUAUAUUUGGAUGAGACUAUUAACUGUUCAAUGCCAUAUGCCAUUUACUAUGACAAGGGUGAGACACAAUACAACAUCCCAAGAUUUAAUUAUUCCUGCACUUUUUCUAUGUCUCGGGAUUUAUUUAUCCCUGUAAUUCCUAUACAAUAUCUCAGGAUUUUCCACAGCACAUCGGGAUUUAAUUAAUAAUAAUAAUAAUAAUAAUCAAACUAUGACAAGGGCGAGACAUAUUUGUGAAAUCCCUUUACCUUCUAUGGCAGUCAUCUGACAAAUAUGAGGAAUGAUACUUUACAAUGAAGUUGGUGUGCAUCUCUGAAUGAUUUUUCGCUGUGCACUUUCUGUCGUGGGCCGACUUGGGGCAUUAUAAUUAAUUGGAAAUCGGAGUCGAUCAAUCGGAUGGCAACCGCAGAAUUAAUAAGCAUGAAUGAUGCCGACGACGCGAGUGUUGGCUGUAAUUGUGGAUGCGCCAGUACCCGUACUUGUAGUCAAUGUGGAGCAGAGCUGACGGGCUAAUCAAAUUGCUGGCAAUCAUGGAGCCGUAUAAGCAAAUGUAGCAAUUUCAGUCAAACACCGAGAGAGCCGGCAACUUGAUAUGGCCAAGCUGCAGACGACAACAAACCCAACAGCAUCAACAACAACUUGUGGCUGUGACGCGAUUCGAUUCGCCUUUAACUCAACUCAACUCAACUCAACUAACGCGGUUCAACUUGGGCUGGCUGGAAACCUCAGUCAAGUCAAUCAAAUGCAAAAUUGCGGUUCUUUGUUGAUUGUUGUUAAAUUCGCACAACCGCUAUUCAGCACCGCGAUUGCAGGCAACAAUUUGCAUUUACCGACUGCAACUAGGCUUUCCAUACCAAUUAAUUUGAUGGAUUUUCGCUGUCUGCAGCCAAAAAAUACAUACCUCGACA